rnacentral:rRNA from 1 species
AGAGUUUGAUCCUGGCUCAGGACGAACGCUGGCGGCGUGCUUAACACAUGCAAGUCGAGCGGUAAGGCCCUUCGGGGUACACGAGCGGCGAACGGGUGAGUAACACGUGGGUAACCUGCCCUGUACUUCGGGAUAAGCCUGGGAAACUGGGUCUAAUACCGGAUAUGACUGCAUUCCGCAUGGGGUGUGGUGGAAAGUUC